rnacentral:rRNA from 1 species
AUUGAACGCUGGCGGCAUGCCUUACACAUGCAAGUCGAACGGUAACGGGCCUUCCGGUGCCGACGCGUGGCGAACGGGGGAGUAAUACAUCGGAACGUGCCCGCACGUGGGGGGUAACGAGGCGCGAGCUUUGCUAAUACCCCAUACGAUCUACGGGUGAGAGAAGGGGACCGCAAGGCCUUGCGCGGACGGAGCGGCCGAUGGAAGAUUAGGUAGUUGGUGGGAUAAAAGCUUACCAAGCCGACGAUCUGUAGCUGGUCUGAGAGGACGAUCAGCCACACUGGGACUGAGACACGGCCCAGACUCCUACGGGAGGCAGCAGUGGGGAAUUUUGGACAAUGGGCGCAAGCCUGAUCCAGCCAUGCCGCGUGCAGGAUGAAGGCCUUCGGGUUGUAAACUGCUUUUGGAAGGAACGAAAAGCCUUCUGCUAAUACAGGAGGGUCAUGACGGUACCGGAAGAAUAAGCACCGGCUAACUACGUG